rnacentral:rRNA from 1 species
CCUUUACAAUGCACGAAAGUGUGAUAAGGCAACUCCUUGUGCUUAUCCAAAAGAUAGGCUUUUUUAGUAUGUAAUGUAUACUAAGAAUAAGUGAUGGGCAAGACCGGUGCCAGCAGCCGCGGUAAUACCGGCGUCACAGGUGGAGAUCACGAUUACUGGGUCUAAAGUGUUCGUAGCUGGUCAUAUUAAGUACUCCUGUGAAAGUUACUGUAGCUUAACUACAGAAUUAGUCAAGAGAUACUGUAUGACUUGAGACCGGAAGAGGU